UACGGAGGGUGCGAGCGUUGUCCGGAAUCAUUGGGCGUAAAGGGCGCGUAGGUGGCGGGACAAGCGUGCGGUGAAAGCUCGGGGCUCAACCCCGAGUCGGCCGUGCGAACUGUUUUGCUUGAGCACUGUAGAGGCAGGCGGCAUUCCGGGUGUAGCGGUGUAAUGCGUAGAGAUCCGGAUGACCACCGGUGGCGAAGGCGGCCUGCUGGGCCGUAGCUGACACUGAGGCGCGACAGCGUGGGGAGCAAUCAGG
rnacentral:rRNA from 1 species